rnacentral:tRNA from 1 species
GAUAGCUCAGCGGUAGAGCGGGCGGCUGUUAACCGCUAGGUCGUAGGUUCGAAUCCUACUC